rnacentral:rRNA from 1 species
UAGGCGGCGUGGAUUAGGCAUGCAAGUUGAGCGAAUCCCAGCAAUGGGGGAAGCAGCGUAAGGGGCAGUAAUGCGUGGGUAUUUACCCUGGGGUCUGGCAUAGCCCUUCGAAAGAAGGGGUAAUUCCAGAUGAUGUCGUGAGACCAAAGGUCCGCCGCCCUGGGAGAAGCCCACGUGAUAUUAGCUAGUUGGUGGGGUAACGGCCUACCAAGGCGAAGAUGUCUAGCGGGUGUGAGAGCACGACCCGCGCCACUGGCACUGAGACACUGGCCAGACACCUACGGGUGGCUGCAGUCGAGGAUCUUCGGCAAUGAGCGCAAGCUUGACCGAGCGACGCCGCGUGUGCGACGAAGGCCUUCGGGUUGUAAAGCACUGUCGAGAGGGAGAAAGGGAAACUUGAUCUAUCUCUGGAGGAAGCACGGGCUAAGUUCGUGCCAGCAGCCGCGGUAAGACGAACCGUGCGAACGUUGUUCGGAAUCACUGGGCUUAAAGGGCGCGUAGGCGGGUUACCAAGUCUGUGGUGAAAUCCUCCAGCUUAACUGGAGAACUGCCGCGGAUACUGGUGAUCUCGAGGGAGGUAGGGGUAUGCGGAACUGUGCGUGGAGCGGUGAAAUGCGUUGAUAUGCACAGGAACUCCGGUGGCGA